CAGUCGCCGCGGGAAUACGUAGGGCGCAAGCGUUAUCCGGAAUUAUUGGGCGUAAAGAGCUCGUAGGCGGUUUGUCGCGUCUGCCGUGAAAGUCCGGGGCUCAACCCCGGAUCUGUGGUGGGUACGGGCAGACUAGAGUGAUGUAGGGGAGACUGGAAUUCCUGGUGUAGCGGUGAAAUGCGCAGAUAUCAGGAGGAACACCGAUGGCGAAGGCAGGUCUCUGGGCAUUAACUGACGCUGAGGAGCGAAAGCAUGGGGAGCGAACAGGAUUAGAUACCCCUGUAGUCCCUGUCUCUUAUAC
rnacentral:rRNA from 1 species